CGGGUGUUAUGCUUAUUACGCAGUAAUAUUUCAAGGCGUCGUGUGACUGGCACUUUGAGCGUGUUUGAGCUGCGUGCUUUUUCAAAAUGGCAGAAGGAGGCUUUGGGUGUACGGAUACAGAGACGGGAAGCGUCCCUAGACCCAUCAGUCUGUACAGUCGUCACUCUCAGAAUUAUGUAGAGAGUGUGUCUGUUGAGAUCUGUACUAUAAUGAACAGGCUGGGAUACGGCGAGGAGAUGAGACGGUGGCGCGUUGCGAAGUACAGGGAGCGUGACAGACUGACAAAUGCAUACCUAAGUAAUAUAACUUUAAUCACAGCUGGCAGUAAGGCAGAAGGGCUGACCUGCUUUUUAUAAAGCGACCGUGACUGUCUAUUCUUGCUGAAAAAUGUCAUCUGUUUGGAAGCUGGUAUCAAUCUUUACAGCAUACCAGACGACUUACAAGUGUACAGGAUGGAUACACAUGUAUAUCCAGGACACUGCAGACUUUUAUUAGAGAGACAAACGUCUAUAAGUGACGAAAUAAUCCACAAUGCUCUGUGUGAUAAUGGAAAUGGGGACGUUCUAUUGAGCAGUAGUUUAUUGUUAGAUGAAUUUUCGUCGCUCUUUGCAUAUGCCCGUCAACUCCUCACUGCAUAUACCGGUCAACUCCAACUCGAUGUGGUGCAACAUAAAUGCGUGGGACCGUCAUUACCGCAUACCAUUCUAGGGCAUUUGCAUACAGACAACGUACCCGCACUACGCUGUUUAUGCCCGAGUGUCCUACACAGAUGGGCUGCUAGACCCCGUCAUUGACCGUCACCAGUCAUAGUUCAAAAAGUCGUAACAUUAGGAGCGAUUCUAACACCGGUAGGAUUUAAGGGGAGUGAAUUCAAGCACAUGGAAUGGAGGAUUAACUUUAACAGCGGUGAGGCAGAACUCGUAAGCAACCUUAAUGAUACUCAGGCGAAAGUUUAUGUUAUACUAAAAAUGAUCAUCAAAGAUAUAAUCAAACCAACAAAUAAAGAAAUAACGUCAUAUAUACUGAAAAACAUAGUUUUAUGGCAAGCUGAACGUACCCCACAGACACGCUUUAGUGCAUACAGUUUGCUUCACUGGCUGCAUGACGGUCUGAGAGAACUAAGGACUGCAAUUGCCAAAAAAACAUAUGCCGUAUUACAUGAUUCCUGAACGAAAUUUAAUGGAAGCAUGUGAUAUAAACAAUAAGCUGCAUCGUAAAUGGGUAGCAGAUAUCACGGACAUGCUAGAAGAAGGUCCCGGGGUAGUACUUAGAUUGGAGAAGAUACGAAAGGCUAUUGUCGGGUCCCCGGAGCCUAUGUUGUGGUACAGCAAGAAAAGGAUGGAGCUGGAGAUGCUGUAUCUCGAGUCAUUGAAAAGAACGGCGGAAUUUAGAGA